rnacentral:rRNA from 1 species
UGGGGAAUCUUCCGCAAUGGACGAAAGUCUGACGGAGCAACGCCGCGUGAGUGAUGACGGUCUUCGGAUUGUAAAGCUCUGUUAAUCGGGACGAAUGGUUUGUGUGCAAAUAGUGCAUAGACAUGACGGUACCGGAAUAGAAAGCCACGGCUAACUACGUGCCAGCAGCCGCGGUAAUACGUAGGUGGCAAGCGUUGUCCGGAAUUAUUGGGCGUAAAGCGCGCGCAGGCGGACUAGCCAGUCAGUCUUAAAAGUUCGGGGCGUAACCCCCGGGUGGGGAUGAAACUACUAGUCUAGAGUAUCGGAGAGGAAAGUGGAAUUCCUAGUGUAGCGGUGAAAUGCGUAGAUAUUAGGAAGAACACCAGUGGCGAAGGCGACUGUCUGGACGAACACUGACGCUGAGGAGCGAAAGCCAGGGGAGCGAACGGG